rnacentral:rRNA from 1 species
UACGUAGGGCGCAAGCGUUGUCCGGAAUUAUUGGGCGUAAAGAGCUCGUAGGCGGCCAGUUGCGUCUGCUGUGAAAUCCCGGGGCUCAACCCCGGGCGUGCAGUGGAUACGGGCUGGCUAGAGGCAGGCAGGGGAGAACGGAAUUCCCGGUGUAGCGGUGAAAUGCGCAGAUAUCGGGAGGAACACCGGUGGCGAAGGCGGCUCACUGGCUCGUAACUGACGCUCAUGCACGACAGCGUGGGGAUCAAACAGG